rnacentral:rRNA from 1 species
ACUCAAAUGAAUUGACGGGGGCCCGCACAAGCGGUGGAGCAUGUGGUUUAAUUCGAUGCAACGCGAAGAACCUUACCUACUCUUGACAUCCAGAGAACUUAGCAGAGAUGCUUUGGUGCCUUCGGGAACUCUGAGACAGGUGCUGCAUGGCUGUCGUCAGCUCGUGUUGUGAAAUGUUGGGUUAAGUCCCGCAACGAGCGCAACCCUUAUCCUUUGUUGCCAGCGGUUCGGCCGGGAACUCAAAGGAGACUGCCAGUGAUAAACUGGAGGAAGGUGGGGAUGACGUCAAGUCAUCAUGGCCCUUACGAGUAGGGCUACACACGUGCUACAAUGGCAUAUACAAAGAGAAGCGACCUCGCGAGAGCAAGCGGACCUCACAAAGUAUGUCGUAGUCCGGAUCGGAGUCUGCAACUCGACUCCGUGAAGUCGGAAUCGCUAGUAAUCGUAGAUCAGAAUGCUACGGUGAAUACGUUCCCGGGCCUUGUACACACCGCCCGU